ensembl:processed_transcript A430093F15Rik RIKEN cDNA A430093F15 gene
CCUCCGAGGGACAGGCUCUGCCCUAUUGCCUUGGCGACACCAGAAAUGUAUCGCAUGAGGCUGGACUACAACUCAGCGACAGAAUGUCAGCCAGCAAGUUCAAGGCUGUAGGCUCGUUCUGUUCCACUGUACUAGGGGUGAGGGAAAUAUGGCCCGAGGCAGAUGGCGAGAAAGCUGCGCUGGCGGCCAGAAGGGAUCGGAGCCAGCUGGAGCCACGAGUCAGGGCAGACUCUCAAAGCUCAGUUUCCUUGGAUGCUCUCCAUCUAGCCCUGAGGCCGACACCCUAAACUUCUGGGACCCCAGGAAUGUGGGAUUCAGAGAGGCCAGUUCGGCUGGAGACAGUUCCACACCAAGGAUGCUUUUCCCAAGGACACAGUCCCUAUCUUCUAGGUGCCUGGACUCCACACGUGCCGAGUGCUCCUGAAAUGAAGUUCUAGAACCUACAGCCACUGGACAGGUCUCUAGUGGAAAAGCAAUGCCUGUGAGUUUGCUUGGGCUGGCCUUGAACUCACUAU